rnacentral:tRNA from 1 species
GAGGGUAUAGCUCAAUCGGUAGAGCACAUGCUUAGCAUGCACAAGGUCCUGGGUUCAAACCCCAGGACAUCCU